AGAGUUUGAUCAUGGCUCAGGAUGAACGCUAGCUACAGGCUUAACACAUGCAAGUCGAGGGGAAACGACAUCGAAAGCUUGCUUUUGGAUGGGCGUCGACCGGCGCACGGGUGAGUAACGCGUAUCCAACCUGCCCACCACUUGGGGAUAACCUUGCGAAAGUAAGACUAAUACCCAAUGACGUCUCUAGAAGACAUCUGAAAGAGAUUAAAGAUUUAUCGGUGAUGGAUGGGGAUGCGUCUGAUUAGCUUGCUGGCGGGGCAACGGCCACCAAGGCGACGAUCAGUGGGGUUAACUGAGAGGAAGGUCCCCCACAUUGGAACUGAGACACGGUCCAAACUCCUACGGGAGGCA
rnacentral:rRNA from 1 species